CGUGCUUGCACGGUCUGAUUAGUGGCGAACGGGUGAGUAACACGUGAGUAACCUGCCCCCCACUCUGGGAUAACCUCGGGAAAUCGGGGCUAAUACCGGAUAUGAGCUCCUACCGCAUGGUGGGUGCUGGAAAGUUUUUCGGUGGGGGAUGGACUCGCGGCCUAUCAGUUUGUUGGUGAGGUAAUGGCUCACCAAGGCGAUGACGGGUAGCCGGCCUGAGAGGGCGACCGGCCACACUGGGACUGAGACACGGCCCAGACUCCUACGGGAGGCAGCAGUGGGGAAUAUUGCACAAUGGGCGAAAGCCUGAUGCAGCGACGCCGCGUGAGGGAUGACGGCCUUCGGGUUGUAAACCUCUUUCAGUAGGGAAGAAGCGAAAGUGACGGUACCUGCAGAAGAAGCGCCGGCUAACUACGUGCCAGCAGCCGCGGUAAUACGUAGGGCGCAAGCGUUGUCCGGAAUUAUUGGGCGUAAAGAGCUUGUAGGUGGCUUGUCGCGUCUGCCGUGAAAACCCGAGGCUCAACCUCGGGCGUGCGGUGGGUACGGGCAGGCUAGAGUGUGGUAGGGGAGACUGGAACUCCUGGUGUAGCGGUGAAAUGCGCAGAUAUCAGGAAGAACACCGAUGGCGAAGGCAGGUCUCUGGGCCAUUACUGACACUGAGAAGCGAAAGCAUGGGGAGCGAACAGGAUUAGAUACCCUGGUAGUCCAUGCCGUAAACGUUGGGCACUAG
rnacentral:rRNA from 1 species